UCAAACUUGGUCAUUUAGAGGAAGUAAAAGUCGUAACAAGGUUUCCGUAGGUGAACCUGCGGAAGGAUCAUUACCAAAACGACUGCAAACCCGGCUUAGGUCGCGGUGCGCUUCAACCCUUUGUGAACCAAAAAACCUUUUUUCGCUUCGGUUAGCAGGGAGCUGGCGCGGGUAAAACCGCGGUUCGCUUUCGUAAGCCUGCCGGUGGCAACCAAACAAAAACUUGCUGUUAAAAAAAUUGUCUGAUAACGAAUUUUUCGAAUGAAAAAAUCAAAACUUUCAACAACGGAUCUCUUGGUUCUCGCAUCGAUGAAGAACGCAGC
rnacentral:misc_RNA from 1 species